UUGACCUCGGAUCAGGUAGGAAUACCCGCUGAACUUAAGCAUAUCAAUAAGCGGAGGAAAAGAAACCAACAGGGAUUGCCCCAGUAACGGCGAGUGAAGCGGCAACAGCUCAAAUUUGAAAUCUGGCCCCAGGCCCGAGUUGUAAUUUGCAGAGGAUGCUUUUGGCGCGGUGCCUUCCGAGUUCCCUGGAACGGGACGCCAUAGAGGGUGAGAGCCCCGUACGGUUGGACACCAAGCCUUUGUAAAGCUCCUUCGACGAGUCGAGUAGUUUGGGAAUGCUGCUCUAAAUGGGAGGUACAUUUCUUCUAAAGCUAAAUAUUGGCCAGAGACCGAUAGCGCACAAGUAGAGUGAUCGAAAGAUGAAAAGCACUUUGAAAAGAGGGUUAAACAGCACGUGAAAUUGUUAAAAGGGAAGCGCUUGUGACCAGACUUGCGUCCGGUGAAUCACCCAGCUCUCGCGGCUGGGGCACUUCGCCGGCACAGGCCAGCAUCAGCUUGCCGUCGGGGACAAAAGCUUCAGGAACGUGGCUCCUCUCGGGGAGUGUUAUAGCCUGUUGCAUAAUACCCUUCGGCGGGCUGAGGUACGCGCUCCGCAAGGA
rnacentral:rRNA from 1 species